rnacentral:rRNA from 1 species
UACGAAGGGGGCUAGCGUUGCUCGGAAUCACUGGGCGUAAAGGGUGCGUAGGCGGGUCUUUUAAGUCAGGGGUGAAAUCCUGGAGCUCAACUCCAGAACUGCCUUUGAUACUGAGGAUCUUGAGUAUGGGAGAGGUGAGUGGAACUGCGAGUGUAGAGGUGAAAUUCGUAGAUAUUCGCAAGAACACCAGUGGCGAAGGCGGCUCACUGGCCCAUAACUGACGCUGAGGCACGAAAGCGUGGGGAGCGAUCCGG